rnacentral:lncRNA from 1 species
CCUUCCAUAUCCGGAUGACCAAAACCACCUCCAAUCAUCACCAAGAGUCUUGGGGUAAAGUAAAGUCACCCCUUGGUAAAUUAAUGGGUCUGCAAACAACUGAAGGUACAAACAAGAUCAGGAGCCUUCCUCCUUAUCAAAGUGUAUUUAUAGGCCACUGAUUUGCAUCUUCAGUCUUCAUAAACAAAGCAAGUCACCUUUGCCUUUCUGGAACUUCUCCAUAUGCUUACCUAGAAGUUCGCCUGGUGAUAGCCUGCAGCAGAGUUGAAGGCCAAGGGAGAACUAAGCGAUCUGGACCUAGAAGAGACAGCGCUGUGAGCAGCAGAGAGUGCUGGGGGCUGAGAGCCAGCUAUUAUGAGAAGGAAGUCCCAUUUUCCGAGUUUUAACUUUGAAAAAUCACAAUACGUUUUUCUAUGUUGUCAACAAACUUCAGUAAAGAACACUUUACUGAGUGUUGAA